AUAACGCGUGAGAACAUGCCUUUAGAUUGGGGACAACAGUUGGAAACGACUGCUAAUACCGAAUGUGCCUUAGGGUGAAAGAUUUAUUGUCUAAAGAUUGGCUCGCGUCAGAUUAGCUAGUUGGAGUGGUAACGGCACACCAAGGCGACGAUCUGUACUUGUCUGAGAGGAUGACCAGGCACACUGGAACUGAGACACGGUCCAGACUCCUACGGGAGGCAGCAGUGGGGAAUUUUCCGCAAUGGGCGAAAGCCUGACGGAGCAAUACCGCGUGAGGGAGGACGGCUUUUGGGUUGUAAACCUCUUUUAUCAGGGAAGAAUCGAUGACGGUACCUGAUGAAUCAGCAUCGGCUAACUCCGUGCCAGCAGCCGCGGUAAUACGGAGGAUGCAAGCGUUAUCCGGAAUUAUUGGGCGUAAAGCGUCCGUAGGUGGUUUAUCAAGUCUGCUGUCAAAGCGUGCGGCUUAACCGCAUAAGGGCAGUGGAAACGAUGAACUAGAGUGCGAUAGGGGUAACAGGAAUUCCCAGUGUAGCGGUGAAAUGCGUAGAUAUUGGGAAGAACACCAGCGGCGAAAGCGUGUUACUGGGUCUGCACUGACACUGAGGGACGAAAGCUAGGGGAGCGAAAGGGAUUAGAUACCCUGUUCUCACGCUUAUC
rnacentral:rRNA from 1 species